rnacentral:rRNA from 1 species
UACAGAGGGUGCGAGCGUUGUUCGGAAUUAUUGGGCGUAAAGGGCGCGUAGGUGGCCAGGUAAGUUUGGUGUGAAAGCUCGGAGCUUAACUCCGAAAAGUCAUUGAAUACUAUCUGGCUGGAGGGUCGGAGGGGAGACUGGAAUUCUCGGUGUAGCAGUGAAAUGCGUAGAUAUCGAGAGGAACACCAGUGGCGAAGGCGAGUCUCUGGACGACUCCUGACACUGAGGCACGAAAGCUAGGGGAGCAAACAGG